CCGUACGCCGUCAUAGAGUAGUUGAAAAACAUAAAGGGGUUCCGAAAGUACAAGUUGUUGCUGUGACUGACUCGAUGAUUGAGGGGGUCGUCUCGACGAAAGAUAGAGACAGUUGGCCAUAGUUUAGAUUAGGAAUACGUCAAUGUAAUAAUAGUGGACCAAAUGUUUCGUCCGUGCAGAAUGGCACUUUUUACCUCACGACCAUGCAUAGCUGCGCUACGUAAACAAUUUUACAAAGUUGUUGAUGUAGCGUGAUCGUGAUGUCCGACUCCGAGUACGAGUGCUGCGAGUUUCAAUACUGUUUAUGUAGUCAUUGAGAGUUUAAACAAAGUUUCUUCUGAGAAGAGAAAUUCGAUGGAUGCAUUCAACGUGGAUAACGAGAUUAUAAUUUCGUUUGUAUCAUCCUAAGGACAAGUGCAAGUUGAAAUGGAUUUCGAGUCAACAACUUCAACAGCAAUUUGCCUUGAAAAUCAGCAAGAAAGGUACUUCAUUUACAUUGAUGAUGUCAUAUCCCCUGAACCCCACAACUUUACAGGUUACAGAGAAAAUUCAAGAACUUCUGCACAAUGUGGGACUCCGAUAGAAUCAAUAAUGUAUUUGUGAGCCCAGAUAUAUUGUGCAACAUACUAAAGUGUGAAUUUAGUUGAAAACAAGUACAUGUACUCAUGUAUACUAUUAUAUGUCUUUCUUAAAGACAAUAAUAUUGCAUAAAUGUAGAUGAAGUGUCAUUGUUGAUUAUUCUAAGUUUUUGAUAUAUCAAAAUCAGUAAACAUUUCUAAAUGAAAAUAAAAUACCAAUUUUUAAAC